GCCCUAGUAACGGCGAGUGAAGCGGCAACAGCUCAAAUUUGAAAUCUGGCUUCGGCCCGAGUUGUAAUUUGCAGAGGAUGUUAUGGUGCGGUACCUUCCGAGUUCCCUGGAACGCGACGUCACAGAGGGUGAGAGCCCCGUCUGGUUGGAUACCAGACAUGUAAAUCUCCUUCAACGAGUCGAGUAGUUUGGGAAUGCUGCUCUAAAUGGGAGGUAAAUCUCUUCUAAAGCUAAAUACCGGCCAGAGACCGAUAGCGCACAAGUAGAGUGAUCGAAAGAUGAAAAGCACCUUGAAAAGGGGGUUAAACAGUACGUGAAAUUGUUAAAAGGGAAGCGUUUAUGACCAGACUUGUGUCGUGUGGCUCAUCCGAGGUUCUCCCCGGUGCACUCCACACGGUUCAGGCCAACAUCGGUUCUCGUUGGGGGAUAAGAACAGUAGGAACGUAGCCCUCUUCUGCGGGUGUUAUAGCCUAUUGUACGAUACCCUGAUGGGGACCGAGGACCGCGCUUCGGCAAGGAUGUUGGCGUAAUGGUCAUUAGCGACCCGUCUUGAAACACGGACCAAGGAGUCGUCCAUUAGAGCGAGCGUUUGGGUGUAAAACCCGCACGCGUAAUGAAAGUGAAAUUAGGUGAGAGCUUCGGCGCAUCAUCGACCGAUCCUGAAGUUUACGGAUGGAUUUGAGUAAGAGUUUUAACGGACGGACCCGAAAGACAGUGAACUAUGCUUGAAUAGGGUGAAGCCAGAGGAAACUCUGGUGGAGGCUCGCAGCGGUUCUGACGUGCAAAUCGAUCGUCAAAUUUGAGCAUGGGGGCGAAAGACUAAUCGAACUGUCUAGUAGCUGGUUCCCGCCGAAG
rnacentral:rRNA from 1 species